rnacentral:tRNA from 1 species
GGCAAAUAUAACUCAGUUUGGUUAGAGUAUUAGGUUGUGAUCCUAAAAGUCACGGGUUCAAAUCCCGUUAUUUGCCU